AAAGAAACUAACGAGGAUUCCCAUAGUAACGGCGAGUGAAAGGGGAAGAGCCCAGCGCUGAAUCCAUCGAUCACUGGUCGCUUGGAAUUGUAGCGUAUAGGUGCGGCUAUCCGCUCGUUUCGUGCACCCAAAGUCCCCUUGAGCGGGGCCAUAGUCCAAAGAAGGUGCUAGACCUGUACGGGUGGCGAGGCGGUCGGUUGGUCGCUCCUUGGAGUCGGGUUGCCUGGGAUCGCAGCCCAAAGUUGGUGGUAGACCUCAUCUAAGGCUAAAUAUGGCCACGAAACCGAUAGCAAACAAGUACCGUGAGGGAAAGUUGCAAAGAACUUUGAAGAGAGAGUUCAAGAGGGCGUGAAACCGCCGAGAUUGAAACGGAUAGAGUUGACGAAACUCGAUCGCAUUCAUCCGAUCCGCCUAGCGGUUCGGCGGUUGUUGACUUCCUCGAUGAGGGCAACGCCGUCGCUGGCUGUUGGGUGUUAGAUUGGUGUAUUUGCGGUCGGUAUGCGCCGAGAGCUUUGCGAGCGCAUGUUGACGUUGAUGUAGUGGACCACUCCCUCCGGGCGUGGAACCCUGCAUUGAUUGAGGCAUGUCGUUCGUAGGGUGUUGCUGGGUGACGUCUCCGCUAUGGUGGGUCGGCUUUGUUGGGCUGUUGCGGUUGCUGGGUGAUCGCAUGCGAGCGCCUGCAGCUUGCGAUGGUACGAUGAGGUGCGGACGCGCUUGAGACGUGCAUCUCGGUGUGAACGUUGACCACCUAUCCGACCCGUCUUGAAACACGGACCAAGGAGUCUAGCAUAUGCGCGAGUCAUUGGGUGGUAAACCUAAAGGCGUAAUGAAAGUAAAGGUCGUCUUGUUACGGCUGAUAUGGGAUCUGUGCGGUUUUCGAGCCACGCAGCGCACCAUAGCCCCGUCCCGGUUGCUUGCAAUGGGGCGGAGGUAGAGCGCAUACGCUGGGACCCGAAAGAUGGUGAACUAUGCCUGAGCAGGAUGAAGCCAGAGGAAACUCUGGUGGAAGUCCGAAGCGGUUCUGACGUGCAAAUCG
rnacentral:rRNA from 1 species